rnacentral:tRNA from 1 species
UUGAGGGUGUCAGAGUUUAUGAGUUUGCUUUAGGUGCAAAGUACGGGUAUAUUAUCUCCCUUAAA